UAUGUGAUCGUCUCUCGCAUAUCAAUAAGCGGAGGAAAAGAAACUAACAAGGAUUCCCCUAGUAACGGCGAGUGAAGCGGGAAGAGCUCAAAUUUGAAAUCUUAAAGGGUUUCCCUUUACGAAUUGUAGUUUAAAGAAGUGUUUUCUGUUGAGGUUUUGGUAAAAGUUCUUUGGAAUAGGACAUCAUAGAGGGUGAGAAUCCCGUAUUUGACCUUUACUUUCAACUUUGUGAUACACUUUCAAAGAGUCGGAUUGUUUGGGAAUGCAGUCCAAAAUGGGUGGUAAAUUUCAUCUAAAGCUAAAUAUUGGCGAGAGACCGAUAGCGAACAAGUACCGUGAGGGAAAGAUGAAAAGAACUUUGAAAAGAGAGUUAAACAGUACGUGAAAUUGUCAAAAGGGAAGCGUUUGGCACCAGUGUUGUUUUUCUGAAAAUCAAUUAAAGAACUGUUUAUGCUAAGCUGUUUAGACUUUAUCAGCUAUCUGUUUAGUUUUGAGCUUUUCUUUAAUGCACUUUUCAGUUAACAAGUCAACAUCAAUUUCUUUUGCUGUAAAAAAGCUUGAGGAAGGUGGCUUGAGAUUCGUCUUAAGUGUUUAUAGCCUCUUGCCUAUGCAGUCGGAGAGAUUGAGGUCUGCAGCGUAGAUCCUUCGGGGCUAAAUGCAUUUGUGCUAAGUUAUAGCAUUUUAUAGACAACUUGUUGACUAUGAUUUGUCUUGUAGCUUACUCGCUUAUGUUAUUUUACCUACGCUUAGGAUGUUGAGCGCAUGUCUCUCUCU
rnacentral:rRNA from 1 species